GGAACAUCAGAGCUCCCACCACAUCAGAAGGCAUGUCAGGGAUCUUCUGACUAUGAUGGGGUCAAAUGGAAACUCAUACAGGGACAAGCUGAUGUCGGUGCACCGUUCCGGGAUGUGAUCAGAAACUGUAAAAAGCACGUGACUGAUUGAGCCUUACCUUGGCCCUGAGGAAGCUGUUGCAUUCCUGUUCGACAUUGUAGUUGAUGAUACGGGACACCUCCUCCUGCCAGAUUUUAAGGCCGUAAAUGCUGACGUAGUCCUGGAUGUACUCAAACGACCUGUAGAACCCAUCCAUGGUGGCCGCCAUCUCCUUCAACU